CUGGUUGAUCCUGCCAGAGGUCACUGCUAUCGGGGUUCGAUUAAGCCAUGCGAGUCGAGAGGGUUCAGACCCUCGGCGGACUGCUCAGUAACACGUGGAUAACCUGCCCUAAGGUGGAGCAUAACCCCGGGAAACUGGGGAUAAUACUCCAUAGGUUAGAGAUACUGGAAUGUUCUUUAAUCGAAAGUUCCGGCGCCUUAGGAUGGAUCUGCAGCCGAUUAGGUAGUUGUUGGGGUAACGGCCCAACAAGCCUGUAAUCGGUACGGGUUGUGGGAGCAAGAGCCCGGAGAUGGAAUCUGAGACACGAUUCCAGGCCCUACGGGGCGCAGCAGGCGCGAAAACUUUACAAUGUAGGAAACUGUGAUAAGGGAACCCCGAGUGCCCGUAUACGCGGGCUGUCCGGGUGUAUAAAAAGCAUCUGAAGAAAGGGCCGGGCAAGACCGGUGCCAGCCGCCGCGGUAAUACCGGCGGUUCGAGUGGUGACCACUUUUAUUGGGCUUAAAGCGUUCGUAGCUGGACUCUUAAGUCUCUUGGGAAAUCCCGCGGCUCAACCGUGGGGCGUUUAAGAGAUACUGGGAGUCUAGGAACCGGGAGAGGUAAGAGGUACUUCGGGGGUAGAAGUGAAAUUCUGUAAUCCUCGAGGGACCACCGAUGGCGAAGGCAUCUUACCAGAACGGCUUCGACAGUGAGGAACGAAAGCUGGGGGAGCGAACGGGAUUAGAUACCCCGGUAGUCCCAGCCGUAAACGAUGCGCGUUAGGUGUACUGGUGACCACGAGUCACUGGGGUGCCGAAGGGAAACCGUGAAACGUGCCGCCUGGGAAGUACGGUCGCAAGGCUGAAACUUAAAGGAAUUGGCGGGGGAGCACCAC
rnacentral:rRNA from 1 species